rnacentral:rRNA from 1 species
GUAGUGGGGGAUAACGUCCGGAAACGGGCGCUAAUACCGCAUACGUCCUGAGGGAGAAAGUGGGGGAUCUUCGGACCUCACGCUAUCAGAUGAGCCUAGGUCGGAUUAGCUAGUUGGUGGGGUAAAGGCCUACCAAGGCGACGAUCCGUAACUGGUCUGAGAGGAUGAUCAGUCACACUGGAACUGAGACACGGUCCAGACUCCUACGGGAGGCAGCAGUGGGGAAUAUUGGACAAUGGGCGAAAGCCUGAUCCAGCCAUGCCGCGUGUGUGAAGAAGGUCUUCGGAUUGUAAAGCACUUUAAGUUGGGAGGAAGGGCAGUAAGUUAAUACCUUGCUGUUUUGACGUUACCAACAGAAUAAGCACCGGCUAACUUCGUGCCAGCAGCCGCGGUAAUACGAAGGGUGCAAGCGUUAAUCGGAAUUACUGGGCGUAAAGCGCGCGUAGGUGGUUCAGCAAGUUGGAUGUGAAAUCCCCGGGCUCAACCUGGGAACUGCAUCCAAAACUACUGAGCUAGAGUACGGUAGAGGGUGGUGGAACUUCCUGUGUAGCGGUGAAAUGCGUAGAUAUAGGAAGGAACACCAGUGGCGAAGGCGACCACCUGGACUGAUACUGACACUGAGGUGCGAAAGCGUGGGGAGCA